rnacentral:lncRNA from 1 species
GGCAUCAUGUCCAUCUGCCUUUGGCCGUGUAAGCAAUUAAUGAAUGAGUGACACCAUGAGCGCGUCAGGAGACGAGCGGUCUAUGAUCCGGGCUGAGGACUGUGAGAAUUAGGGGAAAGUUCACAGCACAGAGAAUGCCCACAUUAUGGGUUGGAGGUUUUUUUUUUUGCCAGACAACCCACAGUGACCACAGAGAAGGAGGCGCGUUAACCCUUUCCUGUCUAAGUGGGUGAAAGGUAACUGGGCGACUGCUGACGGUGCUGAGAGGGGAAGCUCGGUUCAAAGGGACCGCAGGCCUCUCACGUAUGCGUCUGGAAUGCGACAAACAUGCCUUUUUUCCCCCUCAAAGCCUCGGCACGGAGGGAUUUCCACCGGGACGCCGUGUUCUGGGGUGGUGGAGGAGCGGCGACUUGGCAGAGCAGACAGACGCCUGCUGAUCAUCGUGAACCUCUCAGAGCGACGGGAGUUUAAUGAACCCGGAGCUUCGGGCCUUCACUUCCUGACGUGUGGCCCGAAGCCGGCAUCUUAUCAGCAGAGACGCUUCACAUUCGCGGAGCUCUACUCCUCUGCAUCCUGUCAUUCCAGAGCCCAUCAUCACCGGAUCCGCACCACAGCUGCUUGUUCAAUUUCCCGAAAUGGCCGCAUCUAUAUACAGCACGCUGACCUUUUACCCAGAUUGUACACAGAACAUCUGUAAAUCAGGGCUGCAUUCAAACGCAGCCGAGUACCGUGACAUGGUAAAGAAAAAAAAAAAAAAAGGACUACAGGGUUUUAUAUUGAAUGAUUCUUCCAAUUGAGUACAUUUAUUACCUUAGAAGAUGCUUAUAAAUAAAGAAUUUGUCUCCCUACA